rnacentral:rRNA from 1 species
GUAGGGUGCAAGCGUUAUCCGGAAUUACUGGGGCGUAAAGCGUACCGUAGGCGGUCUUAUGCGUCCGAUUUGAAAUCCCACGGCUCAACCGUGGAAACGGGUCGGAUACGAUUUGACUUGAGUAUGUUAGGGGAAGCCGGAAUUGACGGUGGAGGGUGAAAUCCGUUGAUAUCGUUAGGAACACCAAGGGCGAAGGCAGGCUUCUGGGGCAUCACUGACGCUAAGGGACGAAAGCUAGGGUAGCAAACCGGAUUAGAGACCCGGGUAGUCCUAGCCGUAAACGAUGGAUACUAGCUGGGCCAGUUUACUGGUCUGGCGUAAGCUAACGCGUUAAGUAUCCCGCCUGGGGAGUACGACCGCAAGGUUA